UUGGCCCUGAAUCAAGGCCAGCAGUUUGCUGAAGCUGUUGGUUUCAAGCAGGAGCCGAACCUAAAGAGUGUCUUUCUUGGUCUUUUUGCCAUUUCAGAACUUUGGAAAUAUAAUGGUCAGUUCAUUAGAAAGAAACAUUG
ensembl:snoRNA